AACAAAAAGCUGAGAGCAAUAAACUAAAGAGCUGAAAAAAUCUACAGUGUAAAGAAGUAAUUCAAAGAACAAGGAAGAAAGAAAUACGAGAGGAGGAAGGGAACAAAGAGAGGACAAGGGAAGCAGAACAAGGGAAGCAAAUGUCCUAUCAUUCUAUAGAUAGCAUUGUGUGUCUAUAUGUAAACCAGGUUGCUGAUGACUAACACAAUAGACUGUUCCUAGCAUACUGAAAUUGUCACUUGACCACUUCAUUGUCUCGUGUUUUGCUUUCGCCUGUCCUAUAUUUUUCUUUCUUCCUUUUUCUUUCUGUCUGUAAUUCCUAUUUGCUGUCUAACACCAUAAUAUUUAAAAGCCUCUGUCUACCCUUUGCUGCCAAUUGCUAUUGUUUUUGCCUUGCUACAGCUAAGCUCAUUGAGUUGCUUUGGAAAGAGCUCAAACUCCUAUCCAAACCUCUGGAGGCGGCACAACAAAGCAGAGAGAGACUGCAGCCAGCAGUGAGAGAAGCCUGGGCCAAAGGAAGUGUACAAAUCCUGUAUCAUUAUCAUUUGUGAUCGACACUAACACCAUGAGUAGUGUGCCAGUUGCAACAAUAAAAAGGAGAAAAAAAGUACUGGCUGGAGAUGCUGAUUUUCUAUGUCGUGCUGGAGUCCCAUGGCCCCUGUGAAGUUUGGCUCCCUGUUGUACUAUUCUUCCAGAAGCAGAGAAGAAGAAACAAUCUCUGUGCCAAAGAGCUUGCAACCAACAGAUACAACUCAAAAUGAAUGAGACAUAUCAAAGUAGAACCUUCUCAGAAGAGAGAAUGUGAUGAAGGAAAAGAAUGAGAAAUUUUGGGGGGAAAAAAAAAAAAAGUGAAAAAAAAGAAAAGCAAGUAAAGGUGAAAACAAAGAUCUAAUACAGGUACGUGGAAAACCAUUUUGAAUAGAUUUAUUAAGGUAAGUUUGAUUGAACUCUCUCUCCCUCCCCCAUUCUGAUCAAUUUUUGGUACUUAAGAUGCACAGAAUUACAAUUUGCUACUUGUUUUUGUUUGUUUGUUUGAUUGAUUUUGUCUGUGUGAGAGUACUUUGUUAUCACAGAAUCGUGGUUUAGCUUAGAUUGAAAAAGAUAUUAAAAGCCAUCCUGUUGCAAACUCUGCCAUGGGCACAGUUGCCGCUCACCAGAUAGGACUGCCCUGUGCCCCACCCAACCUGACCUUGAAUACGAUUAGAGCUGGGGCAUUCAUACCUUCUAUGGGCAGCCUGUGCCACCACCUCACCACCCUCUGGGUAGAGCAUUUCCUCCUA